GACGAACGCUGGCGGCGUGCUUAACACAUGCAAGUCGAACGAAGAGCGAUGGAAGCUUGCUUCUAUCAAUCUUAGUGGCGAACGGGUGAGUAACGCGUAAUCAACCUGCCCUUCAGAGGGGGACAACAGUUGGAAACGACUGCUAAUACCGCAUACGAUCUAAUCUCGGCAUCGAGGAUGGAUGAAAGGUGGCCUCUAUUUAUAAGCUAUCACUGAAGGAGGGGAUUGCGUCUGAUUAGCUAGUUGGAGGGGUAACGGCCCACCAAGGCGAUGAUCAGUAGCCGGUCUGAGAGGAUGAACGGCCACAUUGGGACUGAGACACGGCCCAGACUCCUACGGGAGGCAGCAGUGGGGAAUCUUCCGCAAUGGACGAAAGUCUGACGGAGCAACGCCGCGUGAGUGAUGACGGCCUUCGGGUUGUAAAGCUCUGUUAAUCGGGACGAAAGGCCUUCUUGCGAACAGUUAG
rnacentral:rRNA from 1 species